rnacentral:rRNA from 1 species
GACGAACGCUGGCGGCGUGCUUAACACAUGCAAGUCGAACGGAAAGGCCCUGCUUUUGUGGGGUGCUCGAGUGGCGAACGGGUGAGUUACACGUGAGUAACCUGCCCUUGACUUUGGGAUAACUUCAGGAAACUGGGGCUAAUACCGGAUAGGAGCUCCUGCUGCAUGGUGGGGGUUGGAAAGUUUCGGCGGUUGGGGAUGGACUCGCGGCUUAUCAGCUUGUUGGUGGGGUAGUGGCUUACCAAGGCUUUGACGGGUAGCCGGCCUGAGAGGGUGACCGGCCACAUUGGGACUGAGAUACGGCCCAGACUCCUACGGGAGGCAGCAGUGGGGAAUAUUGCACAAUGGGCGGAAGCCUGAUGCAGCAACGCCGCGUGCGGGAUGACGGCCUUCGGGUUGUAAACCGCUUUCGCCUGUGACGAAGCGUGAGUGACGGUAAUGGGUAAAGAAGCACCGGCUAACUACGUGCCAGCAACCGCGGUGAUACGUACGGUGCGAGCGUUGUCCGGAUUUAUUGGGCGUAAAGGGCUCGUAGGUGGUUGAUCGCGUCGGAAGUGUAAUCUUGGGGCUUAACCCUGAGCGUGCUUUCGAUACGGGUUGACUUGAGGAAGGUAGGGGAGAAUGGAAUUCCUGGUGGAGCGGUGGAAUGCGCAGAUAUCAGGAGGAACACCAGUGGCGAAGGCGGUUCUCUGGGCCCUUCCUGACGCUGAGGAGCGAAAGCGUGGGGAGCGAACAGGCUUAGAUACCCUGGUAGUCCACGCUGUAAACGGUGGGUACUAGGUGUGGGGUCCAUUCCACGGGUUCCGUGCCGUAGCUAACGCUUUAAGUACCCCGCCUGGGGAGUACGGCCGCAAGGCUAAAACUCAAAGGAAUUGACGGGGCCCCGCACAAGCGGCGGAGCAUGCGGAUUAAUUCGAUGCAACGCGUAGAACCUUACCUGGGUUUGACAUGGAUCGGGAGUGCUCAGAGAUGGGUGUGCCUCUUUUGGGGUCGGUUCACAGGUGGUGCAUGGCUGUCGUCAGCUCGUGUCGUGAGAUGUUGGGUUAAGUCCCGCAACGAGCGCAACCCUUGUUCACUGUUGCCAGCACGUUAUGGUGGGGACUCAGUGGAGACCGCCGGGGUCAACUCGGAGGAAGGUGGGGAUGACGUCAAGUCAUCAUGCCCCUUAUGUCCAGGGCUUCACGCAUGCUACAAUGGCUGGUACAGAGAGUGGCGAGCCUGUGAGGGUGAGCGAAUCUCGGAAAGCCGGUCUCAGUUCGGAUUGGGGUCUGCAACUCGACCUCAUGAAGUCGGAGUCGCUAGUAAUCGCAGAUCAGCAACGCUGCGGUGAAUACGUUCCCGGGGCU